AUAUUUAUUGAUUUUUGUUUAUUAAAAUUAAUUUUUUUUCUAUUAAUAUUAAGAAAAAAUUUUUUUUAUGAUAGUUUAAUAGUACUGAAAAGGAAAUUUAUUAUUAAUAAAAAAGAAGAAUUUAAUUUUUGUACCUUGUGUCUCAUGGUCUAUUAAAAUUAUUUUAUAAUUAUAAUUUUCCCGAAUUAAAAAGAGCUAAAUUAAAAUAAAUAUUAUUGUAGCAAAAAUAUUUAAAAUUUUUAUUUAGGUGUGAUAUGCAAUUCAAUUUUUAUAAUAUCUGGUUUUUUUAAAAAAAAGUCUAAUUUUUCUAUUAAAUAUAAAAUAAUUAAGUUUUUAAUUUUUUUAAUUUAAUAGUAAUACUUUAGGGGAUAAGCUUUAAAGUAUACAAUAUAAAUUAUUUUUUUUUACAAUUAUUUAGGAUUAAAAAUUUCUAUAUUUUAAAGUUUUUUAUUAUUUUUUUGUUAUUAUUAAAAUUUAUAUAUAAUUUUAUUUUUUUAAGAAAAUAAUUUUUAAAAUUUUUUUUAAAAUUUAAUAAUGAUAGAAUUAGUAUUUUAUAUGUAAUUUGUUUAUUUUUUUUUAAUUAAGCAAAGGAAUUCGGCAAAAUUUUACUCACCUGUUUAUUAAAAACAUGUCUUUUUGAUUUAUAAUUUUAAGUUUAACCUGCCCAAUGAAUUUUUAAUGGCUGCAGUAUUUUGACUGUACAAAGGUAGCAUAAUCAUUAGUUUUUUGAUUGAAAGCUGGAAUGAAGGGUUGGAUGAGGUAAAAACUGUCUCUGUUUAAACAAAAAAAUUUUAUUUUUAAGUGAAAAAGCUUAAAUAUUUAAAGAAGACGAUAAGACCCUAUAGAAUUUUAUAUUUUUUUUUAUUUGAUUAAUAAGUAUUUAAAUUUGAAUUUUAAAAAAUAUUUUAUUGGGGUGAUAAAAAAAUUUAAUAAACUUUUUAUUUUUAAACAUUAAUUUAUGAAAAUUUGAUCCUUUAUUAAGAUUAUAAGAUAAAUUACCUUAGGGAUAACAGCGUAAUUUCUUUUUAGAGUUCAAAUCGAAAAUGAAGUUUGCGACCUCGAUGUUGGAUUAAAAUUUAUAUUUGGCGCAAAAGCUUUAUAAUUGGGUCUGUUCGACCUUUAAAAUUUUACAUGAUCUGAGUUUAGACCGGCGUGAGCCAGGUUGGUUUCUAUCUCUUUAAUUUAAAAAUUUUUUAGUACGAAAGGACCAAAAAUUUUUUUUAAAAAAUAUUUUUUGAUUAAAAUUAUUAUUUU
rnacentral:rRNA from 1 species